GGGGAAAUGAUUGACAUAAAUUUUCUGAUGAAUGGAGGUCGCCGGAAAACUCCGCCGAAAAAUUUGUUGAUGAAUUUUGGACAUAAACUUUACAUCAAAUGAUAGCCCUUGAAGAGCUCUACACUUUUAUGUAAAGGAUAUAGGACGGGGAUGACCGAAACUUCGUAAAUCUAAAGAAAAAAGUGAAGAUUUAUGUUUGAUUUUUCUUAGAUCUACGGAGUUUAGCUAUGGA
rnacentral:lncRNA from 1 species